UACGUAGGGGGCGAGCGUUGUCCGGAGUUACUGGGCGUAAAGCGCACGCAGGCGGUCUGUGAAGUUUGGAGUGACGGUUGGUGGCUCAACCACCAAAGUGCUUUGAAAACUGAUAGACUUGAGGGCUUCAGAGGGACACGGAAUUCCGGGUGGAGUGGUGAAAUGCGUAGAGAUCCGGAGGAACACCAAAGGCGAAGGCAGUGUCCUGGGGAGUACCUGACGCUCAGGUGCGAAAGCCAGGGGAGCGAACGGG
rnacentral:rRNA from 1 species